UACGUAGGGUGCAAGCGUUGUCCGGAAUUAUUGGGCGUAAAGAGCUCGUAGGCGGUGUGUCACGUCGAUCGUGAAAACUUGGGGCUUAACUCUGAGCUUGCGGUCGAUACGGGCAUCACUGGAGUUCGGCAGGGGAGACUGGAAUUCCUGGUGUAGCGGUGAAAUGCGCAGAUAUCAGGAGGAACACCGGUGGCGAAGGCGGGUCUCUGGGCCGAUACUGACGCUGAGGAGCGAAAGCGUGGGGAGCGAACAGG
rnacentral:rRNA from 1 species